UAGCAUUUAUUUCCAAUUCACACUCGAUUCGUGAUCAAAUGUUUUGAUUUCAUAGCGAUAAACAUCUAGGUCAAUGCUCGUUUUUCAGAAUAGAUUGCCCGUGAUACCCAACAGGUGGCGCUUGAUUAAAUGUGGUUAGCUUGGUUGGUUGGCUUGGCAACCGGUUCAACUUUUGUCAAACUAAGCACCAUACACACUCUAGCCAAUGUUGCUGCUAGCUAGCCGGGGUUCAGCGAGUCAAUUUCAUCCAACAUUUAUAACAACCAUGAUUGUCAGCAAUCGAGCGCUGGACAGAAUUUACACCGUCAUCCUAGCGGCGGUGGUGGUGCUGUCCUGGGGCUACGUCAUAUACGGUAGCUGGGUGGCGGCACGGUGGCAGCUGGAGCAGGCCGCGGGGACCCGGCGACACAACUGAUGGUUGCCUGGGUCCUAGAAACGGCUCUUUUGAAAUGUCACUCAAACCUGUGGACAUCGUCCACUCCGGCUAUGAAGACUCUGUCUCCCAUAAUGCCACAGAAGACUACAGUCCAGAGAGACUUUGGUCAUGUGAUCUCAGCUGGACUGGCCUGCAUGAUACAGCAGUGUUCUCCUGUUCCUACAGAUUGCACUGCUAAGACUGGACUAUCCUGGACUGGACUAUCCUGGACUGGACAGGACUGGACUAU